rnacentral:rRNA from 1 species
AUACGGAGGGUGCAAGCGUUAUUCGGAAUCACUGGGCGUAAAGGGUGCGUAGGCGGUUUGAUAAGUCUGAUGUGAAAUCCUAUGGCUCAACCAUAGAACUGCAUUGGAAACUGUCAGACUAGAAUACUGAAGGGGCAGAUGGAAUUAGUGGUGUAGGGGUAAAAUCCGUAGAUAUCACUAGGAAUACCGAAAGCGAAAGCGAUCUGCUGGGAAGUUAUUGACGCUGAGGCACGAAAGCGUGGGGAGCAAACGGGAUUAGAAACCCCAGUAGUCC